UCUCUUUUUUCAUUCAACCCUUUGCUGCCGUGUCUCCCUCUAUUAAUUUACAUGCCUACGCACAUGCGUGCGACAGAGAGAGACCGGGGGAAGGGGUUGAUGUUUGGCAGGGAGUGUGAGAGAGAUGGACGAAGGAUUGCCAAUGAUGCAUACGAGGGGGAGAGAGAGGGGACGAGGAAGAGAGGUCACGCUAACACGGAAGCAAGCAGACAAACGUGCGAUAUACGAACCAAGAGGAGAGGGAAAUGAAAAAAGAAGCAGGGGGGUUAGGUAGGUUGGAGUCGUUAGGCAGAUUCAGUCUGGAGCUCACACCGAGCGCGAGAUGAGCGGUCGGACCAGGCAGGAGGCUGAUGCGGCAGCCGGGCGGCGGGCACCAGGACGACGACCAGGAUGAGGAAAAGAGUUGACGGUGGCCUCGGACAGGGCGUCGUCGUUGUGAAACUGAAAGUAUGCGGUGGCGACGACGACAUCAUUUGGAUAUUCUCUUGUCGCCGACUGAAAUUGCGGCCAAUCGGGCCAGCAAUAACGACGUAAACCAACGUGCUGCGGUGAAGUGACGUCACCAUCACCACCACCACCGGCCCGCUGACGAAGUUCGACGUGUCGUUUGUGCAACAGUAUGCUGCUGGAAGGUGCGCCGGUUUUUAUUCGUCGCGUGUUGCGUGGCGAGGCCCUCGGCGGAGCGUCCGGCAGUCAGUCGCGGCCCCCUUAUGAGUG